GAUGAAGAACGCAGCGAAAUGCGAUAAGUAAUGCGAAUUGCAGAAUUCAGUGAGUCAUCGAAUCUUUGAACGCACAUUGCGCCCUUUGGUAUUCCAAAGGGCAUGCCUGUUCGAGCGUCAUUUGUACCCUCAAGCUUUGCUUGGUGUUGGGCGUCUUGUCUCUAGCUUUGCUGGAGACUCGCCUUAAAGUAAUUGGCAGCCGGCCUACUGGUUUCGGAGCGCAGCACAAGUCGCACUCUCUAUCAGCAAAGGUCUAGCAUCCAUUAAGCCUUUUUUUUCAACUUUUGACCUCGGAUCAGGUAGGGAUACCCGCUGAACUUAAGCAUAUCAAUAAGCGGAGGA
rnacentral:misc_RNA from 1 species